AUGUCCCUUUCCAGGUUGCUGAAGUUGUUCAUGGCUUCAACAUGGCUGGGACUCAGUAUCACUCAGAAGGUAACUCAAGCCCAGCCACCAGUGUCAGUGCAAGAGAUGGAGGCUGCAGUCCUGCACUGCAUCUAUGACACCAGCAGUACAAAUUAUGUUCUCUCCUGGUAUAAGCAGCCCAGCAGUGGGGAGAUGAUCCUCCUCAUUCUCCAAGAGUCUUACAGACAGCAAAAUGCAACAAAAGGUCGCUACUCCUUGGAUUUCCAGAAAGCAAGCAAAUCCAUUCAGCUUGUCAUCUCAGCUUCACAACUGGAGGACUCAGCGGUAUAUUUCUGUGCACUGAGGGGAGCCACAAUGAAAGGGCUGUUGAAGGGAGGUGCACAAAAACCCCAGGGUCUGCUUGAGACAGCCACCUGCAGUAGGGACCAAGGCAGAGAGUCACCAACUCCCCCAGGAAACAGCUAGGACUGAGGCAGUACAGGUAUAGGGUUAGAGGGAGGCCUCAUUGAGUAAGCCCCUCCCUGGUUACAGCCAUCAUUACAGACAUCCACAUCCAUGAA